rnacentral:misc_RNA from 1 species
CGGAAAUCUUAUCAGAAAGUAAAAAAAAAAUGAUUUUCUCCUUCCUCGCCGGCGCCGGAAACGGCCACCAAAUUCGGCGAGGCUGGUCUCAUCUGAAAGAGCUCUCUAUCAGGAGUCCAUAGCCACUGAAAUCACUUUGAUCGGAAGUCAGGAUUGCCUGAUACGAGUGUUCAAAGUUUGGGACUCAAUUUUCUCUCUCCUGCUUUACUGCAACUAUGGUUGCCGCUGGAGGCUCGCCGGACAUUGGUUGGAGGUCGUCGGUGGUUGCUGGUGCUGCCUAGGGUGUUGCCAGCCGGUGGGAGCGGUCGCCAGAGCAAGAAAAGGGAGAGAGAGAGAGAG